UACGUAGGGGGCAAGCGUUGUCCGGAUUUAUUGGGCGUAAAGAGCGUGUAGGCGGCUAUACAGGUCCGCUGUGAAAACUCGAGGCUCAACCUCGAGACGUCGGUGGAAACCGUAUGGCUAGAGUCCGGAAGAGGAGAGUGGAAUUCCUGGUGUAGCGGUGAAAUGCGCAGAUAUCAGGAGGAACACCGGUGGCGAAGGCGGAUCUCUGGGCCUUACCUGACGCUGAGGAGCGAAAGCGUGGGGAGCGAACAGG
rnacentral:rRNA from 1 species